UAGCUGUGCCUGAAGGAACU
rnacentral:piRNA from 1 species